rnacentral:rRNA from 1 species
AUUGAACGCUGGCGGCAGGCCUAACACAUGCAAGUCGAGCGGAGCGGCGGACGGGUGCGUAAUGACUAGGAAUCUGCCUGUUAGUGGGGGAUAACGUCCGGAACUGGGCGCUAUUGCCGAAUACUAUCAGCAGAGCAUAGGUCGGAUUAGCUAGUUGGUGGGGGAGAGGCCUACCAAGGCGACGAUCCGGAACUGGGCUGAGAGGAUGAUCAGUCACACUGGAACUGAGACACGGUCCAGACUCCUACGGGAGGCAGCAGUGGGGAAUAUUGGACAAUGGGCGAAAGCCUGAUGCAGCCAUGCCGCGUGUGUGAAGAAGGUCUUCGGGUUGUAAAGUACUUUCAGUUGGGAGGCGUUACCGACAGAAGAAGCACCGGCUAACUUCGUGCCAGCAGCCGCGGUAAUUC